rnacentral:rRNA from 1 species
CAUGCUGGGCGCAGCCUGAUCCAGCAUGCCGCGUGAGUGAAGAAGGCCUUCGGGUUGUAAAGCUCUUUUGUCAGGGAAGAAACGGUUCAGGCUAAUAUCCUGGGCUAAUGACGGUACCUGAAGAAUAAGCACCGGCUAACUACGUGCCAGCAGCCGCGGUAAUACGUAGGGUGCAAGCGUUAAUCGGAAUUACUGGGCGUAAAGCGUGCGCAGGCGGUUUUGUAAGUCUGACGUGAAAGCCCCGGGCUCAACCUGGGAAUUGCGUUGGAGACUGCAAGGCUUGAAUCUGGCAGAGGGGGGUAGAAUUCCACGUGUAGCAGUGAAAUGCGUAGAGAUGUGGAGGAACACCGAUGGCGAAGGCAGCCCCCUGGGUCAAGAUUGACGCUCAUGCACGAAAGCGUGGGGAGCAAACAGGAUUAGAUACCCUGGUAGUCCACGCCCUAAACGAUGUCUACUAGUUGUCGGGUUUUAAUUAACUUGGUAACGCAGCUAACGCGUGAAGUAGACCGCCUGGGGAGUACGGUCGCAAGAUUAAAACUCAAUGAAAUUUGACGGA